CUCUUCCCUUCCCCGCCCCCGCCACCGCUGGAGUCGCGGCGCUGCGGGCCAGAGCUGGGUUGGAGGAACACCCUGGCUCGGUGGGGAAUCUGUGCCGGCGCGGCCUCUAAGCUAGGUGGGCGAGCAAGCGAAAGAGCGAGCUAGCAAGUCGGGCGGCGGCGUGCGGCGCCGUUAAGGGCGCUGCCCCGCGCGCUCCCAGGCCGCCCCGGGUCCCGGGCUCUUAGAAGGAGGAUAAUUCCUGGGCCCGAAGAGCGGGGGCGGACGGAGGCGUUGUCGUCGCUCAAGCUCGUCGCGGCGUGUGGAACCUUAGGUUGGCGCCUGGGGUUGGGGACUGAGGCUAAGGGCGCUGCCUGUCGGAGCGGAGAGCCGGGUUUGCCUCGCGCCCCCGCUCAGGACCCUGACGCGGGUGAGGCGGCCCCGGGAGCAUGAGCGGGCAGCGCGUGGACGUCAAGGUGGUGAUGUUGGGCAAGGAGUACGUGGGCAAGACGAGCCUGGUGGAGCGAUACGUACACGACCGCUUCCUGGUGGGGCCUUAUCAGAAUACCAUAGGGGCCGCCUUCGUAGCCAAGGUGAUGUCCGUCGGAGACCGGACGGUGACUUUGGGUAUUUGGGACACAGCAGGCUCUGAGCGCUAUGAGGCCAUGAGCCGAAUCUACUAUCGGGGCGCCAAGGCUGCCAUCGUCUGCUAUGACCUGACGGACAGCAGCAGCUUUGAACGGGCAAAGUUCUGGGUGAAGGAGCUGCGCAACCUAGAGGAGGGCUGUCAGAUCUACUUGUGUGGCACCAAGAGUGACCUGCUGGAGGAGGACAGGCGGCGGCGACGGGUGGACUUCCACGACGUUCAGGACUAUGCAGACAAUAUCAAAGCUCAGCUCUUUGAAACAUCCAGCAAGACAGGCCAGAGUGUGGAUGAGCUCUUCCAGAAAGUGGCAGAGGAUUACGUCAGUGUGGCCGCCUUCCAGGUGAUGACAGAGGACAAGGGCGUGGACCUGGGCCAGAAGGCAAACCCCUACUUCUACAGCUGUUGUCAUCACUGAGUCACCACUCACUUGGCCUGGGGGGGAUCCCCCCAGGAAGGCUGGACCUAGCUCUUGUCUGGGCUUGGAUGAUUGAACAUCUGAGCUAUCUGGGUUCCCGUGGCAGCAGAGGUGGCACCUGCCUGUGCUGGCCCAUGGAACGGAGACAGCAUUGGGGCUGACUGAUGGGCACAAAGAGGGGGAAGCUGCCAGGACCAACUUCCUUCCUGCCACUCUGUUCUCAUGAGGCAACGUGCGAGUCCAGCUCCAGUGAGUAGAUGCUGCCAAGCCUGGAAAAGGAUCGCUGAUGCACUUCAUGCCCUGACUGUAGUGUGGGGUAGAGAAUGUAAAGAAAAAAACAAUUAUUUAUAUCAAUGCUGAAGAUGUAGAUUUGGGAGUUGUUCAGAAGAGGAUCAACACAGUGAUUUAAAUCACUUCAAACUCAGUAACUUCAGGGGGAAGCAGACUAAAAAAAACUUAAAUGCUGUUGUAGCAACAUCUGUUUUGCUAUGAGAAUGGGUUUGCUCCAGUAGAGAAGCAAAUGAGGCUUUGAAUAAAAAUUUCAACAGUU